UCUCACGCUCCCUCACUUCUCUCUCUCCCUCGCAUCUCUCGCGCAGCCGUCGCUCUCGCUCCCCUCCUUCUCUCCGGCCCGAGCCGCCGCUGCUCCUCUGCGCCUCCAUCCUCCUCCUGGCCGUCCCUUCUGCUAGCCCCUCGCGACCAUGAAGGGCGGCGGAGCCAUCAGUAGCAGCGACGGUCGGGCUCCUGGGUGUGAGGCUAGAGAAGGCCAAGCAGAGCACGCCGUCGCCGUCGCAACCAGCUGCGCCUUGGGCGAUGCCGACGAGCUCCAAUGGCUUGACGCCACCAACGCGCUUCAGUGGAUCGAUCCGACACCAGGAACCGUGAGCACCAGGCCCACCUACCCCGCCGCCGGCGCCGCCUCCUUGCAAGAUCCCGACCAUGAUUGGACAAGGCAAAGUUUCAUGUUAUUGGGGCAAUCUUAUUUACAGCCCAGCAAGGUGUUCUGCAUCCAACAGCUGUUGUGAAGACUAGAAUGCAGGUUGCUGAAGGAGGACUUUCACAUAUGUCUGGCUUUGUCGUUUUUAGAAAGAUAUUAAGGAGUGAUGGCAUCCCUGGUGUUUUCAGAGGAUUUGGCACCAAUGCAGUUGGAGCUCUGCUCACCGUCUACUGGGUGAACCGGGGCCUCUGCCACUUCCGCCACAAGGAAUGGGCCAGGGUUGAGGAGGACAGCAGGAGGGCACUCGUGCUUGACGACACCUCCGUCAAGGGACACUAUUUGCUAGGAUGCGCACUGCUCUUGAAGGGGAACUGCGCUCUCACCGUCAAGGAAUUCGACAAGGGAAGCAUGUGAAAAUGCUCUGCCACGCCUCCACCUUCUCCUUCGCCCUUCACCACCGAGCCCCCUGACCAUCACGCUUGCCGCGCCCUUUGCGCAAGGGCUUCCAACCCAAUGUGCCGAUUGUGGCUGUUCUUGAGGCUGCUAACCUACAGCUGUUGACCCCACUGCUCCCCAGUGCAGAGGAUUUCCAUGGUGUCGCAGCUCCAAGGCACACCUGACCUCCUCCUUUUGGUGAUGUUUAUCAGUUAGUGAGAUUUCUGCACCUAGACACUAUGACGCAGAUUGUCGGGGGUUGGGUGCGACAUAUGCCAAAGGAUGGCUUAGCAUGGUGGGAGCGAGUAGAACGUCACCGAUGCCUGGAAG